AUGGCGCACUAUGCCAUGGUGAUGCCGUUCGAAAGGAUGAAUGUUGUCAUCAAAGGAUAUGUUCGCAACAUGUCACGUCCAGAGGGAAGCAUAGCCAAGGGCUUUCUAACCAAAGAGUGCAUCUCCUACUGCACGAAUUAUCUAGGCAUCGAGAACCCCGUUGGUCUGCCUGUCAACAGGAACCUCGGCAGGCUCGCUGGAUGGGGUCACCGUGAGGGUCGCCGCGAAAUGCAUGUCGACUUCGAGGGUCGACUCGCCGACUUUGAAAGAGCAAACCUAGUCAUGCUACAACACAUAGACGUGGUCGAUCCUUGGGUGGUAGAGCACAAAACCUUUAUUGAGAAGACGUACAAUGACCGAGGCCAAUAG
rnacentral:rRNA from 1 species